UACAGAGGUCUCAAGCGUUGUUCGGAUUCAUUGGGCGUAAAGGGUGCGUAGGCGGCGGGGCAAGUCAGGUGUGAAAUCCCGGAGCUCAACUUCGGAACUGCACUUGAUACUGCUUUGCUAGAGUACUGGAGAGGAGACUGGAAUUUACGGUGUAGCAGUGAAAUGCGUAGAUAUCGUAAGGAAGACCAGUGGCGAAGGCGAGUCUCUGGACAGUUACUGACGCUGAGGCACGAAGGCCAGGGGAGCAAACGGG
rnacentral:rRNA from 1 species